ACAGUUUAAAAUAAAUUUGACUACGAUAUGCAAACCUUGUGACCUGACUCAUUCUUUUAUGGAAUUUCGACUAUUAUCUUUAUGCCUGAUAAUGUUGUUUAAUCCCUUUACAACUGACAAGAGAAGUGUUUUUGGCGAAAAAAUGGGCAACAUCUGGCUAAAACCGUGGAUGAAUCCAUUAAAAAACCAAACCGCAAAUUAAGUACCUACUUCUUUGUCAUAACAGGAGUAAUUGUAAAAUAGGCCAAUUAGUAAAACCGAACGUUUUGCAAGCACAAAUGGCUUGCAUCUUCAGAUGUGGUGGCUGCAACGAGCAAACAAUGGGUCUCAAUAGCGAAAGGCUUCCAGGCUUAUUUUAAAUUAUUCAUUUGUCAACAAUCCUUAAUUAAGUUUAAUAAAAAUCCUAGUUUUCUCUUUCUGAA